UGGGGGAUAUUGCACAAUGGGCGAAAGCCUGAUGCAGCGACGCCGCGUGAGGGAAGACGGCCUUCGGGUUGUAACCUCUGUCUUUGGGGACGAUAAUGACGGUACCCAAGGAGGAAGCUCCGGCUAACUACGUGCCAGCAGCCGCGGUAAUACGUAGGGAGCGAGCGUUGUCCGGAAUUACUGGGUGUAAAGGGAGCGUAGGCGGGAAUGCAAGUUGGAUGUGAAAAACUCCGGGGCUUAACCCGGAGACUGCAUUCAAAACUGUAUUUCUUGAGUGAUGUAGAGGCAGGCGGAAUUCCUAGUGUAGCGGUGAAAUGCGUAGAUAUUAGGAGGAACACCAGUGGCGAAGGCGGCUUACUGGACGGUAACUGACGUUGAGGCUCGAAAGCGUGGGGAGCAAACAGGAUUAGAUACCC
rnacentral:rRNA from 1 species